GGUGUGCUGUGAGGCAUGCUGGACCGGCUACAAAAGCAAAUGUAGGCAUGAGUAACGAUAAAAGGGGUGAGAAACCCCUUCGCCGUAAGACUAAGGGUUCCUCGUUCGAUGUUAAUCAGAACAGGGUUAGUCGGGACCUAAGGUGUAGCCGCAAGGCGAAGCCGAUGGCAAACGGGUUAAUAUUCCCGUACCUGCUCACGACGAAAGUGACGGAGGCGUGUAGUUAGUGCGCACUGACGGAAUAGUGCGUUGAACUGUGGGUAACUGCAGGAUAGUACCAGGAAGGCUCCGGUCUGAAUGGAUAAUCUAAUGAAGCGACUUCCAAGAAAUAGCGAGUGAAGCAGCCCGUACCGUAAACCGACACAGGUAGUCGAGGAGAGUAUCCUCAGGCGCUCGAGUGAUUCAUGGCUAAGGAACUAGGCAAAUUGGACGCGUAACUUCGGGA
rnacentral:rRNA from 1 species